UGUUAAAUUGUAUUGUUAGCUGUUUGCUGCUUGUUUAUCAGGAGCCUGAAAAUGUUUGCCCAGGUUAGCUAGCUUGUGUGACUAGCCGAAGCAGUCGCCAGUUUGGUUAGCUUUAGUAGACUCUAUUUUUAGAACGUGCCGCCGACCAAUAAAAAACCAGCCGCUGGCUGCAAAUGGACCCCUGGCCGCACCUUGGACAACCCUGCCCUAAACCCUUGCUGUUUCAAACUUUCAAAUUGUUGGGCAAAUAGGUUUUUUACAGCAGGUCCUCGGUUUACAACGUAUCCUAUUGCGACCAUUCGUGGUUACGAUGCACUCCCAUGAAGUACUUAAAGACUUCGUUUCGACCGAAGCAGUUUGGUUUGCUUGAGCACUAGUUACGUGUGCGCGGCAGACGAAUACGUAGUCGUACAUAGCUACACUGAGGAAGGACAACAUCGCUUUUGUUUGUUUUCGUCAACACCCCUUCCAGUGUGCAGGCCAAUCACAGUGAUAAAGGACCUUCACUUCCCUCCAGAGGCCUUUCACAAGACCUCUGGCCCAGUUCACCCGGGGCAACCUAGGCUCCUCCUCUGUGCGUGUGCAAAUGUGUAUGUGUGUGUGUUUGUACUGUCUCUUUACUGCAGAGCGACCGUUGAAGGUCAAAGGGCAGGAAGUUGGCCACCUGCCUCUGUCACGCUCGUCGGAGAGGAGGGAGGAAGUGGUUGCAAGAGACUUGACUGAGAGAGACUUUGAGAAUGAACAAGGUCGUCCCCAAUAACAAUUUACAGGAGGAUCAUAUGGAGACAUUCUGGAUUGGAAAAAGGCUGGCCAAGGAAAACCACUCGCGGUGGUAUGCUGGAGCCUACCCCAGCUGACUUCGGCCGAGAGGCGGGGUACACCCUGGACUGGUCGCCAGCCAAUGGCAGGGCACAUAUAGACAAACAACCAUUCACACUCACAUUCAUACCUAUGGAGAGGGCUGCUGGAGAGGGGGCAGCACGGACAGGGACAGGAGCAGGAUCAAUAGGCUGAUCAGGAGAGCGAGCUCUGUCCUGGACGGUCCUCUGGACUCCGUGGAGGAAGUGGGGGAGAGAAGGAUGUUGGCUAAGCUGACAUCCAUCAUGAACAACACCUCUCACCCGCUACAUGACACUGUGGGUUCCCUUAGCAGCUCCUUCAGCAGUAGACUGUUACACCCACGGUGUAAGAAGGAGAGGUUCCGCAGGUCCUUUAUACCGACCGCUGUAAGGCUCUACAACACCUGCACCACCUGAACCAUGUUGUAGUGCUUUACUUUACUGUUCUCUUUACUUGUCUUGCUUGCUUGCUGCUGUAACAAGUAAAUUUCCCCGCUGUGGGAUCAAUAAAGUACAUACAAUACA